CGCCAUGAAGCUGUGAGCGCCCGAAGUCCGUGUCGCAACUCGCAAGAGAGCAAGCGGCCGAAGGCGAGCGCAGUGACUGGGGCG
rnacentral:rRNA from 1 species